UUCUUUGCAUUGUAAAAGAAAUAUUCAUUCCUGAUGAAGGUGCAGUCCUGAUAAAGCUGUAAUCCUGAUGAGGAUGCAAAUAAGAAAGAAAUUCUGAUGUAGUUUUUAUCGAAGUGUUAAUUAUUAAUUAUUCUAAUGUAGUUUUUAUCGGAGUGUUAAUUAUCAACAGUUUUUGGAGUUUGGUCUGGGGCAGGACCUCUUCGCUCAGUUCAGUGCAGACGCUCUGUGGCUCUCCUGGAGUGUGACAUGGUAAUGCAGCUCCUUCAAGGGGACAGAAGGAGGGGCCCCAGCUUUCGCCACUUAUGUGUCAGCUGGGUCAGCCUAGUCUUGGGGCCCCAGGGAAGUGAUCACAUGCCAGCAUUUUUAUACUGUGCUGAGCAAUUUUCCAAUUCCAGAUUUUGCAUUUUCCAGGCCUCUACGUGGCGAUGGAAUGGCAUGUAUGAGGAAAGAAGGCUGACGAGUGGCAAUCAAGGUGCAAGAGAACUUGUAUUCAGAAGGAAAGAGUCAAAUGUCAUGAAUAGGACAACAAAACACCUGUCCAACUCAGAAGACGUACGGUGAUCCAGGCUGGUGACGGGAAGACGUGACAUGCUGUUGAAGUCCUGGUCACAGUGAGUCAGCAACACUCACAAGGAGCUUGGAGUUGACACUACCGAGACGCUUCGAGAUGAACACACCUGAGACCAUCUAGCUUUAAAUGAUCAUGGAACAAAGGCUCCAGCCAGUUCCAGGUAAAGACACCACCCCUGGCCAUCAAGGAGCUACCCUGCCUUCAGUAAACAGAGAAAGGUGAGAGCUCUGUGAUCCCCAGUAGGUAGGGUCUGCACCCCUUCAUUCUUUGCUGCUGCAUUCUUCUGUGGGGUUUUUUUUUGGCACAUUUUGUCCAAUUCUUUGUUCAAGAUGCCAAGAACCUGGACACCCUCGUCUGAUAACACAAUCACCUCCUAGGUAACAACCUCCUAAUAUCAUCACCUUGGGGGUUAACGUGUGGUAUAUAAAUGUGGUGAGAAUGUAAUAAUUCUGUCCAUUGCAUUGGGCAAAUGGAGGCUGUAGGAGCAGCAUCAUUCUUUACAACAGUCAGUGUUUUGGGGCUGCUGAGUGUCCCUGAAUCCAAGGCCUGCCCCACCCCCACCUGGGUUUUCAUACUACUCUGGGCUACUUCUUCCAGGUCCUGGACCCCUGGCAGAGGCUCUGGCUCCCAUAGUAUCUCCUGAGACUCAAUCCCUGCCCCUGAAACGAUUUAUGCCCUUGUCAAGUUCUAGGAAACUACUUGAGCCACACCACGGUUUGUACCUGUCUGUGCAGCGGUUCCUCAGUCUGCCACGUAACCCCCUCUGUCAUCAUUUGGAUUUCAGCUCCAGACUCACCAUCUCACUGAGGUCUUCAUACCUGUAUCACUCUAAUAAAAGUAGCUCUUGAGUCCCCGUUGUCUCUCUCCAUCUCACCCCUGCUGCAACGUCUUCAUUACAGUUGUCACUAUGGAAAAUGAUCGGAUUCAUCUGCUGGUGUGUUUUCAUACUUAUUGUCUGAAAAUCCAACACUAACCUCCACACCUAGAAAAGCCCCCAAACAGAUAGUCAAUGCCCAAUAAAUCCUCGUGGAAUGAACGAAACUAAGCUCUGCACAUAGCCACAUUGGACAGUUCUAACUUCCCGUCUGCUGUGUUUCUGUUGGCUGCUACUCCUGGACUCUCUCUCAAUGGUUUUUACAA